AUGAGGGAUAUUGUUAAACUGAUUAGGGGUAGUGUUAAACUGAUGAGGGGUAGAGUUAAAUUGAUGAGGGGCAGAGUUAAAUUUAAGAGGGGUAGUGUUAAACUGAUGGGGGGUAGUGUUAAACUGACGAGGGGUAGAGUUAAAUUGAUAGGGAGUAGGGUUAAACUGAUGGGAGGUAGGGUUAAACUGAUUGGGAGUAGGGUUAAAUUGAUGGGGAGUAGUGUUAAAGUGAUGGGGAGUAGGGUUAAACUGAUGGGGAGUAGGGUUAAACUGAUGGGAGGUAGGGUUAAACUGAUUGGGAGUAGGGUUAAACUGAUGGGGAGUAGGGUUAAACUGAUGGGGAGUAGGGUUAAAGUGAUGAGGAGUAGUAUUAAACUGAUGAGGGCUAGUGUUAAACUGAUGAGGGGUAUUGUUAAACUGAUGAGGGGUAGAGUGAAAUUGAUGAGGGCCAGUGUUAAACUGAUGAGGGGUAUUGUUGAACUAAUGAGGGGUAGUGUUAAACUGAUGAGGGGUAGUGUUAAACUGAUGAGGGGUAGAGUGAAAUUGAUGAGGGGUAUUGUUAAACUGAUGAGGGGUAGAGUUAAAUUGAUGAGGGGUAUUGUUAAACUGAUGAGGGGUAGAGUUAAAUUGAUGAGGGGCAGAGUUAAAUUUAAGAGGGGUAGUGUUAAACUGAUGGGGGGUAGUGUUAAACUGACGAGGGGUAGAGUUAAAUUGAUAGGGAGUAGGGUUAAACUGAUGGGAGGUAGGGUUAAACUGAUUGGGAGUAGGGUUAAAUUGAUGGGGAGUAGUGUUAAAGUGAUGGGGAGUAGGGUUAAACUGAUGGGGAGUAGGGUUAAACUGAUGGGAGGUAGGGUUAAACUGAUUGGGAGUAGGGUUAAACUGAUGGGGAGUAGGGUUAAACUGAUGGGGAGUAAGGUUAAAGUGAUGAGGAGUAGUAUUAAACUGAUGAGGGCUAGUGUUAAACUGAUGAGGGGUAUUGUUAAACGGAUGAGGGGUAGAGUGAAAUUGAUGAGGGCCAGUGUUAAACUGAUGAGGGGUAUUGUUGAACUAAUGAGGGGUAGUGUUAAACUGAUGAGGGGUAGUGUUAAACUGAUGAGGGGUAGAGUGAAAUUGAUGAGGGGUUGUGUUAAACUGAUGAGGGCUAGUGUUAAACUGAUGAGGGGUAGAGUGAAAUUGAUGAGGGGUUGUGUUAAACUGAUGAGGGGUAUUGUUAAACUGAUAAGGGGUAGUGUUAAACUGAUGAUGGGUAGUGUAAAACUGAUGAGGGAUAGUGUUAAACUAAUGAGGGAUAGUGUUAAACUGAUGAGGGGUAGUAUUAAACAGAUGAGGGGUAUUGUCAAAUUGAUGAGGAGUAGAGUUAAGAUUAAGAGGGGUAGAGAUAAAUUGAUGGGGAGUAGGGUUAAACUGAUGGGGAGUAGGGUUAAACUGAUGAGGGGUAUUGUUAAACAGAUGAGGGGUAGUUUUAAACUGAUGAGGGGUAGAGUUAAAUUGAUGAGGGGUAGUGUUAAAGUUAUGAGGGGUAGAGUUAAACUGAUGGGGGGUAGUGUUAAACUGAUGAAGGGUAGAGUUAAGAUUAAGAGGGGUAGAGUUAAAUUGAUGAGGGGUAGUGUUAAAGUUAUGAGGGGUAGAGUUAAACUGAUGGGGAGUAGGGUUAAACUGAUGGGGAGUAGGGUUAAACUGAUGGGGAGUUUGGUUAAAUUGAUGGGGAGUAGGGUUAAACUGAUGGGAGGUAGGGUUAAACUGAUUGGGAGUAGGGUUAAACUGAUGGGGAGUAGGGUUAAACUGAUCCGGAGUAGGGUUAAAGUGUUGAGGAGUAGUAUUAAACUGAUGAGGGCUAGUGUUAAACUGAUGACGGGUAGUGUUAGACUGAUGAGGGGUAGUGUUAAACUGAUGAGGACUAGUGUUAAACUGAUGAGGACUAGUUUUAAACUGAUGAGGGGUAUUGUUAAACUGAUGAGGGGUAGAGUGAAAUUGAUGAGGGGUUGUGUUAAACUGAUGAGGGGUAUUUUUAAACUGAUGAGGGGUAGUGUUAAACUGAUAAGUGGUAGUGUUAAACUGAUGAGGGGUAUUGUUAAAUUGAUGAGGGGUAUUGUUAAAUUGAUGAGGGUUAUUGUUAAACUGAUUAGGGGUACUGUUAAACUGAUGAAGGGUAGAGUUAAAUUGAUGAGGGGCAGAGUUAAAUUUAAGAGGGGUAGUGUUAAACUGAUGGGGGGUAGUGUUAAACUGACGAGGGGUAGAGUUAAAUUGAUAGGGAGUAGGGUUAAACUGAUGGGAUGUAGAGCUAAUCUGAUGGGGAGUAGGGUUAAACUGAUGAGUGGUAUUUUUAAACUGAUGAGGGGUAAUGUUAAACUGAUGAGUGUUAGUGUUAAACUGAUGAGGGGUAUUGUUAAAUUGAUGAGGGGUAUUGUUAAAUUGAUGUAG
rnacentral:lncRNA from 1 species